rnacentral:rRNA from 1 species
GAUGAACGCUGGCGGCGUGCCUAAUACAUGCAAGUCGAGCGAACGGACGAGAAGCUUGCUUCUCUGAUGUUAGCGGCGGACGGGUGAGUAACACGUGGAUAACCUACCUAUAGGACUGGGAUAACUUCGGGAAACCGGAGCUAAUACCGGAUAAUAUUUUGAACCGCAUGGUUCAAAAGUGAAAGACGGCCUUGCUGUCACUUAUAGAUGGAUCCGCGCUGCAUUAGCUAGUUGGUAAGGUAACGGCUUACCAAGGCAACGAUGCAUAGCCGACCUGAGAGGGUGAUCGGCCACACUGGAACUGAGACACGGUCCAGACUCCUACGGGAGGCAGCAGUAGGGAAUCUUCUGCAAUGGGCGAAAGCCUGACGGAGCAACGCCGCGUGAGUGAUGAAGGUCUUCGGAUCGUAAAACUCUGUUAUUAGGGAAGAACAGAUGUGUAAGUAACUGUGCACAUCUUGACGGUACCUAAUCAGAAAGCCACGGCUAACUACGUG